rnacentral:rRNA from 1 species
AUUGAACGCUGGCGGCAUGCCUUACACAUGCAAGUCGAACGGCAGCACGGGAGCAAUCCUGGUGGCGAGUGGCGAACGGGUGAGUAAUAUAUCGGAACGUGCCCAGUCGUGGGGGAUAACGUAGCGAAAGCUACGCUAAUACCGCAUACGAUCUAAGGAUGAAAGCGGGGGAUUCGCAAGAACCUCGCGCGAUUGGAGCGGCUGAUAUCAGAUUAGGUUGUUGGUGAGGUAAAAGCUCACCAAGCCGACGAUCUGUAGCUGGUUUGAGAGAACGACCAGCCACACUGGGACUGAGACACGGCCCAGACUCCUACGGGAGGCAGCAGUGGGGAAUUUUGGACAAUGGGCGAAAGCCUGAUCCAGCAAUGCCGCGUGCAGGAAGAAGGCCUUCGGGUUGUAAACUGCUUUUGUACGGAACGAAAAGGCUCUUUCUAAUAAAGAGGGCCCAUGACGGUACCGUAAGAAUAAGCACCGGCUAACUACGUG